rnacentral:rRNA from 1 species
CCUACGGGUGGCAGCAGUGGGGAAUAUUGCACAAUGGGGGAAACCCUGAUGCAGCAACGCCGCGUGAAGGAAGACGGUUUUCGGAUUGUAAACUUCUGUUCUUAGUGAAGAAUAAUGACGGUAGCGAAUGAGCAAGCCACGGCGAACUACGUUCCAGCAGCCGCGGUAAUACGUAGGUGGCAAGCGUUGUCCGGAAUUACUGGGUGUAAAGGGAGCGCAGGCGGGAGGACAAGGCAGCUGUGAAAACUACGGGCUUAACUUGUAGACUGCAGUGGAAACUGGUUUGCUUGAGUGAAGUAGGGGUAGGUGGAAUUCCGAGUGUAGCGGGGAAAUGCGUAGAUAUUCGGAGGAACACCAGUGGCGAAGGCGGCCUACUGGGCUUUAACUGACGUUGAGGCUCGAAAGUGUGGGGAGCAAACAGGAUUAGAUACCCUUGUAGUC